rnacentral:tRNA from 1 species
GCCUUUGUUGCUCAGUGGUUAGAGCAUCUGCCCAUACAUCAAAGGGUCUUGGGUUAGAUUCCCGGUCAAGGGCA